CAAGAACGGUCAUGUGACAUGCGUUUUCGGUCGUGUAGUAUAGAAGGAGAUAGUUUCUGAAACGCUGUAGAAACGCCAGUGUAUACGAGGAUCGUUUUCGUUUUAAAACGAAAACGCACUAGUGUAAACGGGGCCUUAGUAGACGGUCUGCUUAAUAUCAUGCGAACACUUUAUUGUGAUGGUCCCCCAACAAACAUUCUACUGACUGAGGAUCGGAUGUUCUCGAGUCUCCAGGAGGGCAGUCGGCCGGCAGACGGACUGGCUCCACACUAGACUGGGCAUCCGUACACAUGAAACCAGAGCGGGGGACAUUCCUUCUUAAAAUGGCUCCCUCUUCCUCUGUCUCAUCCUGUGGUGUUAUUAAAGCAGUAUUUCAGGCCUGUCAUAAAGUCUCUCAAGGAUAAAGUAUCAUAAGUGUCUCCAGAUGAUUAAGGUUUUAAUACCUCAUUACAAUAAUAUAAGGUAUAUAGCCUACCUAGGGUAUGGAGUUGGGUGUUAAAAUGUAUUCUGUCAUCAAUUGUCUGCACUUGCUGCCACCUAGCGGCGUAUGAACUAAUUACAUGUCAGUAACAACCUUUUGGAAGGAGCAGGACAAUCCUCUGGCAUCAUGUUUUGGCUACUGGCCAUGCAGCUAGUCAAUAUUUUCCUGGAAGACACAUUAGAUGUGAACGCUCACUGGAGCCAAGCAACCUCAGAUGUUUUCCUUUGCCGUUUCUGCUUCCAUUCAUGAGGAGUUGGAGCUCAGCCCAAAUAGCUGUGUGAUCCGUUAGUGAUUUAUAACUGUGCUGUAUUGUUUAAUCUCCUAAAUUAUACUAGCAGACACUGGAAAUGUUUCCACGGUUUUCUAAACGCUGCCUAACCAUGAUGAAUUUUUUCAACCCACAUGCCUGGAGUCUUUUGCCUGUGAGAGAUACGUUGAACUAUUCAUAAUAGUCUAAUCAAAUGGUCUGUCAGCAAUUUUCUUGUCUGCCUUCCUUGCUGGAAACUCCAGCUUAAAAAUGGCAUCUGUGUUUUAGACAAGGUUGCUGGUCCAACCUAGUAGACAAUCUUGGACCACCAACAAACCUACAACCAGCUGAUUAAACCAGUCAUACAUUUUUGUGUUUGUUUUAUCCCAGUUUUAGCAGUUCUUCAAAAUGUAAGGCUACAGACCACAUAAUGCAAAUUCAAUCUUUUGUCCACUGUAGAAAACUCAUAAAAUGAGUUAUGGAGUGCAUUUCUCUCUCUACACAUUCAUUAGCAAAUUACAGUAAAUGUACAUUAUUAUUCUAAUAAGUGGAAAGUUUUAGGAGCUAUUUGCAAGCUGGCUUUUGCUACUCUAAAUAAAGGCUUGUGCUUAAUUAAAGAGUAUCCCAUGAUCAA